CUCUCCCCCAGGAGCAAAAGGGGUCUUAUAUAUGGUGAAAUUCUUGUCUGUGGCCCACGAGAAAGGGGCUGUUCUGGGGUGAGAGAGAUUCUGACCUGUGAUCAUUCUGACUUGUGAUAACAAAAGACCUAAACACUUUCAAGGGCUCUACCAAGACUCUUCCCACACCAUCAGGUCUGAGGGAAGUAGCCUAAAAGGAGUAGAGCGCACUAAGGAAGGAGCUUGACCUCCCUGUUCAUUUCAAUGAAGCAGCUUCAACAGAGUAAAAGCAGAUCUGUUUUUGGGGAGGGUGAAAAAGGAGAAAGACACAAUCGUCCUCCAACAUUGCCAGAUAUAACAAACAUCUACAGAUGGGUCGGUCUGCAGCUGAGCAGCUUGCUUUAACUUUGUAAUAUUUAUUUGAAAUAUCCAAGCCAGCAGAGCAAGGCUGAAACAGAGUGGGCACGACUCACGAUGUUUUGGCACGGGAACCGGUCGUAGUUGAACUUAGUUUGUUCAGCUCAGAUGGAAUUUAUGCAGAUGUGCCUUGCACUAAAUAC